GACGAAGGGGGCUAGCGUUGUUCGGAAUUACUGGGCGUAAAGCGCGCGUAGGCGGAUCGCUAAGUCAGGGGUGAAAUCCCAAGGCUCAACCUUGGAACUGCCUUUGAUACUGACGAUCUGGAGAUCGGGAGAGGUUGGUGGAAUUCCGAGUGUAGAGGUGAAAUUCGUAGAUAUUCGGAGGAACACCAGAAGCGAAGGCGGCCAACUGGCCCGAUACUGACGCUGAGGCGCGAAAGCGUGGGGAGCAAACAGG
rnacentral:rRNA from 1 species